rnacentral:rRNA from 1 species
AGUGAACGCUGGCGGUAGGCCUAACACAUGCAAGUCGAACGGCAGCACAGUAAGAGCUUGCUCUUACGGGUGGCGAGUGGCGGACGGGUGAGGAAUACAUCGGAAUCUACUUUUUCGUGGGGGAUAACGUAGGGAAACUUACGCUAAUACCGCAUACGACCUACGGGUGAAAGCAGGGGAUCUUCGGACCUUGCGCGAUUGAAUGAGCCGAUGUCGGAUUAGCUAGUUGGCGAGGUAAAGGCCCACCAAGGCGACGAUGCGUAGCUGGUCUGAGAGGAUGAUCGGCCACAGUGGAAAUGAGACACGGUCGAGACGCCUACGGGCGGAAGCAGUAGGGAAGAUUGCGCAAUGGGCGAAAGCGUGAAGGAGCAAUGACGGGGGAGGGAUGAAGGUAUUCGGAUCGUAAAACUCUGUUACGAGAGAAGAAAAAAUGUGGAAGUAACUCUGCACGCCGUGAAGGUAACUAAUCAGAAGGCCAAGGCUAAUUAAGGG